rnacentral:rRNA from 1 species
UUUACCAGACCCGGAAGGCGCGGGCCUUAGUGGCGGACGGGUGAGUAACGCGUGGGGAACCUGCCCCGUACCGGGGGAUAACACCUGGAAACAGGUGCUAAUACCGCAUAACAGAAGGGGACGCAUGUUUCUUUCUUGAAAACUCCGGUGGUACGGGAUGGACCCGCGUCUGAUUAGCUGGUUGGCGGGGUAACGGCCCACCAAGGCGACGAUCAGUAGCCGGCCUGAGAGGGCGGACGGCCACAUUGGGACUGAGACACGGCCCAAACUCCUACGGGAGGCAGCAG